UACGUAGGGUGCGAGCGUUGUCCGGAAUUACUGGGCGUAAAGAGCUCGUAGGUGGUUUGUCGCGUUGUUCGUGAAAACUCACAGCUCAACUGUGGGCGUGCGGGCGAUACGGGCAGACUGGAGUACUGCAGGGGAGACUGGAAUUCCUGGUGUAGCGGUGGAAUGCGCAGAUAUCAGGAGGAACACCGGUGGCGAAGGCGGCAUCCUGGACCGGUAUUGACGCUGAGGCACGAAGGCCAGGGGAGCAAACGGG
rnacentral:rRNA from 1 species